AAGACUACAUUUUCAGGAUAAUUUCUAUAUUUUGUUACUAGAGAAGUUUCUCUGAAUCUGUAAAGCCGGCUACACAAGGAGGAGACUCUGCUUUCUCUCCUCAGCCCGAAGCCUGCUGGUGGUUUUGCUUCAUGGCAACUGUUGUUUGCCACUGAAGAUGGUUCUCUUCCUCUGUGAGCAUGAAUAUAUAGAUGCCUGCUGUUCUGACAUGGACCUCUCUGACACAGGCACUGAAAUUAAACAAAUUGU
ensembl:snoRNA U3 Small nucleolar RNA U3